AACCAGUGGGAAAAGUUUGAGCUGGAGAAAGAGACCAUCCGGGUGUGGCUGGUGGAGCUGGACCUCCGACUCACGGACGUGGAGCUCUUCUCCAGAGGGCCAUCGCUGGAGAAAAUGAUACAGCUGCAGGUAGGUAAAAAGCUGAGGAAGGGGCCCAUGGGGGGAAUCAAGAGUUUGCACUCUUGCAGUUUUCCCACAAGGCUACACGUUUCUCCAGGGAUUCACCGAGUGCUUCUGGAGUCUGGUAUCUCAGCUCAGGACCUGGCAUCUUGAGCAGGUUGACAUUUGCUGAGGAAAACAUUUCUGG